CAGCAGCCGCGGGAAUACGUAGGUGGCAAGCGUUGUCCGGAAUUAUUGGGCGUAAAGGGCUCGCAGGCGGUUUCUUAAGUCUGAUGUGAAAGCCCCCGGCUCAACCGGGGAGGGUCAUUGGAAACUGGGAAACUUGAGUGCAGAAGAGGAGAGUGGAAUUCCACGUGUAGCGGUGAAAUGCGUAGAGAUGUGGAGGAACACCAGUGGCGAAGGCGACCCUCUGGUCUGUAACUGACGCUGAGGAGCGAAAGCGUGGGGAGCGAACAGGAUUAGAUACCCCCGUAGUCCCUGUCUCUUAUAC
rnacentral:rRNA from 1 species